rnacentral:rRNA from 1 species
UCCGUAGGCGGGCUGAUAAGUCAGUGGUGAAAGCCGACAGCUUAACUGUCGAACUGCCAUUGAUACUGUCAGUCUUGAGUAUAUUUGAGGUAGCUGGAAUAAGUAGUGUAGCGGUGAAAUGCAUAGAUAUUACUUAGAACACCAAUUGCGAAGGCAGGUUACCAAGAUAUAACUGACGCUGAUGGACGAAAGCGUGGGGAGCGAACA